AGAUGUGCGUACUACAUGCAAGUCGAACGCACAGCGAAAGGUGCUUGCACCUUUCAGUGAGUGGCGAACGGGUGAGUAACACGUGGACAACCUGCCUCAAGGCUGGGGAUAACAUUUGGAAACAGAUGCUAAUACCGAAUAAAACUUAGUGUCGCAUGACACAAAGUUAAAAGGCGCUUCGGCGUCACCUAGAGAUGGAUCCGCGGUGCAUUAGUUAGUUGGUGGGGUAAAGGCCUACCAAGACAAUGAUGCAUAGCCGAGUUGAGAGACUGAUCGGCCACAUUGGGACUGAGACACGGCCCAAACUCCUACGGGAGGCUGCAGUAGGGAAUCUUCCACAAUGGGCGAAAGCCUGAUGGAGCAACGCCGCGUGUGUGAUGAAGGCUUUCGGGUCGUAAAGCACUGUUGUAUGGGAAGAACAGCUAGAAUAGGAAAUGAUUUUAGUUUGACGGUACCAUACCAGAAAGGGACGGCUAAAUACGUGCCAGCAGCCGCGGUAAUACGUAUGUCCCGAGCGUUAUCCGGAUUUAUUGGGCGUAAAGCGAGCGCAGACGGUUUAUUAAGUCUGAUGUGAAAGCCCGGAGCUCAACUCCGGAAUGGCAUUGGAAACUGGUUAACUUGAGUGCAGUAGAGGUAAGUGGAACUCCAUGUGUAGCGGUGGAAUGCGUAGAUAUAUGGAAGAACACCAGUGGCGAAGGCGGCUUACUGGACUGCAACUGACGUUGAGGCUCGAAAGUGUGGGUAGCAAACAGGAUUAGAUACCCUGGUAGUCCACACCGUAAACGAUGAACACUAGGUGUUAGGAGGUUUCCGCCUCUUAGUGCCGAAGCUAACGCAUUAAGUGUUCCGCCUGGGGAGUACGACCGCAAGGUUGAAACUCAAAGGAAUUGACGGGACCCCGCACAAGCGGUGGAGCAUGUGGUUUAA
rnacentral:rRNA from 1 species